rnacentral:tRNA from 1 species
GCGGUUGUGAUGGAAUGGCAGACAUGCGGGUCUUAAAAACCCGUGAAGCGUCAGCUUCGGUUGUGGGUUCAAGUCCAACCGGCCGCACCA